AUUACCGUGACCGAAAAAUCUCAAAACAAAUAAUGAUUUUUUAACUGUGAUUUUACCCAACUAAAUACCAUGGGAGAUAUCUCUCUGACUUCUGAUUAUCAGAAUGAACUUUAUGAACUUUCUCAAGAUUUUGAAAGCUUUUUUAAAGUAGAUACUGCAAAGCAGAUUGCUGAGACAGAAUGUCUUAUUGAUGGAAUUUUAGCAAAAUUAGAAGAACUCUGUACUGUAGUUGAAAUG
rnacentral:lncRNA from 1 species